GAUCUCAAAUGAAGCAAGAUUACCCGCUGAACUUAAGCAUAUUAUUAAGCGGAGGAAAAGAAACUAACAAGGAUGCCCUCAGUAACGGCGAGUGAAGCGGGCAAAGCUCAACCUGAAAAUCGGGUUUCCAAACGGGAUCUCGAAUUGUGGGCUACAGACAUGUGAUCAGUGUGUGACCCGGGUAUAAGUGUUGUUGGAAAACGCUAACAUAGAGGGUGAUAUUCCCGUCCGUGACCUGGAGUUCGCCGCGUACGAUCCGUGUUCGCAGAGUCGCGUUGUUUGGGAUUGCAGCGCUAAAUGGGUGGUAAAUUUCAUCUAAAGCUAAAUAUCGACGAGAGACCGAUAGCGAACAAGUACCGUGAGGGAAAGAUGAAAAGAACUUUGAAAAGAGAGUUAAAAAGUACUUGAAAUUGCUAAGAGGGAAGCACUGGAAACCAG
rnacentral:rRNA from 1 species